rnacentral:rRNA from 1 species
GUGAGGAAUAUUGCGCAAUGGAGGCAACUCUGACGCAGCCAUGCCGCGUGCAGGAAGAAGGCGCUACGCGUUGUAAACUGCUUUUAACCGGGAAGAAACCCCAGGACGUGUCCUGGGUUGACGGUACCGGAGGAAUAAGCACCGGCUAACUACGUGCCAGCAGCCGCGGUAAUACGAAGGGUGCAAGCGUUAUCCGGAUUCAUUGGGUUUAAAGGGUGCGUAGGCGGAGCGUUAAGUCAGUGGUGAAAUCCUGCAGCUUAACUGUAGACUUGCAUUGAUACUGGCGCUCUUGAGUGCGCUUGAAGUGGGCGGAAUGUGCCGUGUAGCGGUGAAAUGCUUAGAUAUGGCACAGAACACCAAUUGCGAAGGCAGCUCACUAAGGCGAUACUGACGCUGAGGCACGAAAGCGUGGGGAUCGAACAGGAUUAGAAACCCUUGUAGUCC